rnacentral:rRNA from 1 species
UUAUGCCUACGGGGGGCAGCAGUAGGGAAUUUUCGUCAAUGGGGGGAACCCUGAACGAGCAAUGCCGCGUGAGUGAAUAAGGCCCUACGGGUCGUAAACCUCUUUUGCCGGGGAGCAAGGGCGGGGACGUGUCCCGGCCCGGAGAGUACCCGGAGAAAAAGCAUCGGCUAACUCCGUGCCAGCAGCCGCGGUAAUACGGAGGAUGCGAGCGUUAUCCGGAUUUAUUGGGUUUAAAGGGUGCGUAGGCGGGCUUUUAAGUCAGCGGUAAAAAUUCGGGGCUCAACCCCGUCCGGCCGUUGCAACUG